AUUGAACGCUGGCGGCAGGCUUAACACAUGCAAGUCGAGCGGAGCGAGGGUGCUUGCACCUUAGCUUAGCGGCGGACGGGUGAGUAAUGCUUAGGAAUCUGCCUAUUAGUGGAGGACAACAUACCGAAAGGAAUGCUAAUACCGCAUACGCCCUACGGGGGAAAGCAGGGGAUCUUCGGACCUUGCGCUAAUAGAUGAGCCUAAGUCGGAUUAGCUAGUUGGUGGGGUAAAGGCCUACCAAGGCGACGAUCUGUAGCGGGUCUGAGAGGAUGAUCCGCCACACUGGGACUGAGACACGGCCCAGACUCCUACGGGAGGCAGCAGUGGGGAAUAUUGGACAAUGGGCGGAAGCCUGAUCCAGCCAUGCCGCGUGUGUGAAGAAGGCCUUUUGGUUGUAAAGCACUUUAAGCGAGGAGGAGGCUACUUAGAUUAAUACUCUGGGAUAGUGGACGUUACUCGCAGAAUAAGCACCGGCUAACUCUGUGCCAGCCGCCGCGGUAA
rnacentral:rRNA from 1 species